CAACAGCGCACCCAGGGGGAUAUGAGGCGUCACAAGGAAAGCUGAGCAGGCAAUUGCGGCCCCGCCCACUCUGGGGAGAGGGGCGGGGCCUCAGAGUUCCUUUACAGGUGGACCUGAGAGGUGACUCACCAACUCCUGCCCUGGACCCUCCUGCGCCACUGAACCCCCUGACCUGGGGGCCUCGGAACCUAGGGCUCAGGAAGUGGUCCCGGGCGCUCCUGCUUCCCAGCUCCUCCUCCUCCCGCACCCCACAGCACCCCUUUCUUCUCAGGGCGGCCGUGGGUCCCAUCAGGCUUUCCCCUCGGAUCCUCUCCAGGAUG
rnacentral:lncRNA from 1 species